UUUUUAUCACAUUUCGGACGACAUGCUAUACUAUGAUUUUUUCAUGAUUUUGGUCGACAUACCACAUUUUCUAAUGACAUGACUUUUCAGAGCUGCCCAGCUUCGGUGGAGCCUCCCAGUGGAGCCAUCCAGCCCUGUCACAUCAGAGAGGCUAUCAGAAGAUACAACUACAGACACACAAGUGCCUACUGGAGGAGUGGGAUGGCUUUCCUCACCUGCUGAAGAUGCAAGACAUUCUCACACAUACCUGCACAAAUAGUUUACUUUUCUUGUUCCUUUGUUGUAAUAAAGAUUUUUCAGCAAGC